rnacentral:lncRNA from 1 species
AUAUUGUAACAAACCGCCGCCACAGGCCGAGUAAUUGUGGAAGGGUCUGUUGACAAGUUUUGGGGCUCUCGUCAGGAAUAUUCUGCAUCUUGGGGUUUUUCCGUCUUCUACCUCUGAAGACGAAUGGAUGCCAGGCAAUGCACUCAUAUUUCUCAGUCCAUAAACUAUAUAGGUUCGAACGUAUAUUAUAUUUAUUAUUACAUGUUCAUGGUAUAUAGUACACAGACAAAUGCAGACAUGCAGACGCUUAAUCAGUAAUCAGUUUUUCGGGUCAUUUAGGUCACUCAGUGUGGUGGGGGAUAACUGCCUUUAUAUUUACAUUUCCUUAAAAAUACUUCAUCUUAUAUUAUUAAAGCAUAUUAACCUGCUUGGCUUUUCUGUUGGGCUGGGUCUGGUAAAGAUAAACUUUCAAGUUGCAAGUUAAGCUACUAGUUAGGCUUGAGCUAACAAGUUAUCCCCCAUUUCACUGAGUGGAACCUUAUUUAUAUACUUUUGAGAUCCCUGAAAGCCAAUCGAAAAUAAGGGAUCUAGCCAGGGAUCCUUGAGAGCCAAUGAGAACCCUAUCAGGACUGACAGGAAAAUGU